CAAGUAAUCCCUCUGUCCGGAAUUACUUGUCAUCAAAAUGGAUGUGUCUAGAACUAAAAUACAUCUAGAUACAUCCAUUUCAAUGACAAGUACUUUCGGAUGGAGGGAGUACAAG
rfam:Triticum aestivum genome assembly, contig: Triticum_aestivum_CS42_TGACv1_scaffold_220617_3B